UGCACACACACACACACAACGCCCAGGCUCACACACGCGCAGGGACACACCUGCUCUGAGGAGGGUCUCAGGGCAGGCCCUGGAUCACCGUGAGGAGGCCCAGCCCAGCCCACCAGAGGCCCGGGAGCCCGCGCCCCCUCCAGCCUGGGGUCCCCGGCCCGCACCAGGCCCCGCCCCGCCCCGCAGGCCGGCGCCUGCAGCUGGCUGGCUGCAGUUUCCUAGGAAACGCUGUCUCUGUCGCUGCAUGCAAGGUCUCCAGGGCCUCCAGCGUGUGCCAGACAAGCCCCCGGAGCCUGCCCGGAACUUGGGCUGCAGGCAGCGUGGCCCACGCCAUCCCCACAGCAGAAGGCCUUCCCGAGGAGCCUGCCAUCCUGGAGACGACACUGCUAGCAGCAAGCGGCCGGCAGCCCUGUGCCCCAGCUGAGAGGCCGCAACGGGGACCGCGGAGCCGGGGAGGCCCGCUCGUCGCGGGUGUGACUUCCAAGAGCAGGGCCCCCUCUAGGCAUGGAGGGAGGGGACUGGAGCCGGUUUCCUGGGCAGGGUUGGGGCCUGAUGAGGGACCACCUCGAAGACCCCACGUUGGCAGCCGGCCCGCCUUGGCCCCCCGCGCACCCUGGGGUCCACGUGCUCACAGAGGCAGGGCAGGGCCAGGGGGCAGGGGAGGCCCCAGCCAGACCCCGGUGUCCACCGUCCACACGUCUCUGAGGACAUCAGGCUGCGGGUGAAGACGCUGAGUGUGGAGGCCAGAACACCGCCCUGGAGCCCACCCUCCGGGACGGGGGUGCCCGAUGCAGCCGAGGCCACCCUGUGCUGCCGGACAGACACGCAGAUGCCCCGUGGGACCCACUCUGACCCCGGAAAGGACCCCUCACUCAGAGGACCCACCCACUGGGGGCCUGGCUGGCUAGGGCACCUGUCGAGUGGCAAGUGGGACCACGUAUGCCAGGCCUGCCUUGAGGGCGGGAGUGGGGGCGGGCGAGUGCUCGGAAGGGGCCCCCAAGGAAAGCUGGUGGACCCCUGCCUGCCCCGGGGGCGCCUCCAUCACAGCCUGCCCACCAGCCCAGGGCCAGAUGCCUCAUGGAGGUAGUGGCCGCCACCCAGAAGGGAGGGUGAGAUGCUGGGUGGCUGGCCCCCGGGGCACAGGUCACCCACCACGCACGUGGUAUCCUGACUGCUGGGGCCUGGGCAGGCUGGCCCAGCCCCCCGCUCCCACAGCAGUGGAGAGACUUGGGGAGCCUCCUGCCUUGACCCCAGCCAGUCCCGGAGCAGCAGGCAGAGGCCCUGAGCAGCCGGGGAUGCCGCCCACAGGGCCACUGAGCUCAGAAGGCUGCCGUCUGGAGGCUUGUCCGUCCAGCCUGGAGCCGGCUAUGCUAACGGAGAAACACGAGACCCACUUGGCUACUUGUCGAGAUGGUGCUUCCAAAAGCAGCAAGGAUUUGGUCUUGAAAGCACAUCGUCUCUUCCCAUUGGCCCAUGUUCUCCGGGCUCACCAGCCUCUGUUGUUCUUCCGGGGGCAGGGGUCCUCAGCUCAGGGGCCUGUGAGCUCGGACGGGAGCAAAUGGCAUCUUUGGUCUCCUCGACUCUGACCGGAGCUCAGCGGCCCUUCUCCAGGAGCAUCUGUCCUUGGUGCCCGCGGCUCUGUCUCCACCAGGAAACCCGAGGCUCCACCCUCAUCCCUUCCUGACCCUGCGCGCUGUCGGCUCCCACUUCCUCACCCAGGUCAGCAAGGGGCCCAGCCAUCACUUUAAUAUUUUGAUAACUAUUUCAAAAUAACUGGUUUCCUUUGUAACCCUGUGUGCCUUUCAGGUCAGUUCAGUUCAG